UGGGUAGGGGAGCGUUCUGUAAGCCUGUGAAGGUGUACUGUGAGGUAUGCUGGAGGUAUCAGAAGUGCGAAUGCUGACAUAAGUAACGAUAAAGCGGGUGAAAAGCCCGCUCGCCGGAAGACCAAGGGUUCCUGUCCAACGUUAAUCGGGGCAGGGUGAGUCGACCCCUAAGGCGAGGCCGAAAGGCGUAGUCGAUGGGAAACAGGUUAAUAUUCCUGUACUUGGUGUUACUGCGAAGGGGGGACGGAGAAGGCUAUGUUGGCCGGGCGACGGUUGUCCCGGUUUAAGCGUGUAGGCUGGUUUUCCAGGCAAAUCCGGAAAAUCAAGGCUGAGGCGUGAUGACGAGGCACUACGGUGCUGAAGCAACAAAUGCCCUGCUUCCAGGAAAAGCCUCUAAGCAUCAGGUAACAUCAAAUCGUACCCCAAACCGACACAGGUGGUCAGGUAGAGAAUACCAAGGCGCUUGAGAGAACUCGGGUGAAGGAACUAGGCAAAAUGGUGCCGUAACUUCGGGAGAAGGCACGCUGAUAUGUAGGUGAAGUCCCUCGCGGAUGGAGCUGAAAUCAGUCGAAGAUACCAGCUGGCUGCAACUGUUUAUUAAAAACACAGCACUGUGCAAACACGAAAGUGGACGUAUACGGUGUGACGCCUGCCCGGUGCCGGAAGGUUAAUUGAUGGGGUCAGCGCAAGCGAAGCUCUUGAUCGAAGCCCCGGUAAACGGCGGCCGUAACUAUAACGGUCCUAAGGUAGCGAAAUUCCUUGUCGGGUAAGUUCCGACCUGCACGAAUGGCGUAAUGAUGGCCAGGCUGUCUCCACCCGAGACUCAGUGAAAUUGAACUCGCUGUGAAGAUGCAGUGUACCCGCGGCAAGACGGAAAGACCCCGUGAACCUUUACUAUAGCUUGACACUGAACAUUGAGCCUUGAUGUGUAGGAUAGGUGGGAGGCUUUGAAGUGUGGACGCCAGUCUGCAUGGAGCCGACCUUGAAAUACCACCCUUUAAUGUUUGAUGUUCUAACGUGGACCCGUGAUCCGGGUUGCGGACAGUGUCUGGUGGGUAGUUUGACUGGGGCGGUCUCCUCCUAAAGAGUAACGGAGGAGCACGAAGGUUGGCUAAUCCUGGUCGGACAUCAGGAGGUUAGUGCAAUGGCAUAAGCCAGCUUGACUGCGAGCGUGACGGCGCGAGCAGGUGCGAAAGCAGGUCAUAGUGAUCCGGUGGUUCUGAAUGGAAGGGCCAUCGCUCAACGGAUAAAAGGUACUCCGGGGAUAACAGGCUGAUACCGCCCAAGAGUUCAUAUCGACGGCGGUGUUUGGCACCUCGAUGUCGGCUCAUCACAUCCUGGGGCUGAAGUAGGUCCCAAGGGUAUGGCUGUUCGCCAUUUAAAGUGGUACGCGAGCUGGGUUUAGAACGUCGUGAGACAGUUCGGUCCCUAUCUGCCGUGGGCGCUGGAGAACUGAGGGGGGCUGCUCCUAGUACGAGAGGACCGGAGUGGACGCAUCACUGGUGUUCGGGUUGUCAUGCCAAUGGCACUGCCCGGUAGCUAAAUGCGGAAGAGAUAAGUGCUGAAAGCAUCUAAGCACGAAACUUGCCCCGAGAUGAGUUCUCCCUGACCCUUUAAGGGUCCUGAAGGAACGUUGAAGACGACGACGUUGAUAGGCCGGGUGUGUAAGCGCAGCGAUGCGUUGAGCUAACCGGUACUAAUGAACCGUGAGGCUUAACCUU
rnacentral:rRNA from 1 species